rnacentral:lncRNA from 1 species
CCUUGCUCUCAAGUUUGUUCUUAUUUUUCUUUCUCUAAGUAGUCCACAUGUCAAUAAAUGUAGAAGGCUUAUCUCUUAAAUUCAGCGGUAAAUUUAUUAUUGUCCAUAAACUCCUUACAAGAGAACAUCUGAAAAAUAAGUAGAUGCCCGACUUUGAAAUUGAGCCACAUAGAACAUACCCUGAGCUGAUAUUCUAACCUUUUCUCGCAAGAACUUCUCCUGUGUGUAGCUUAUUCCUUG